AUUGAACGCUGGCGGCAGGCCUAACACAUGCAAGUCGAACGAGUGGCGGACGGGUGAGUCAUGUCUGGGACACUGCCCGUUGGAGGGGGAUAACUACUGGCAACGGUAGCUAAUACCGCAUACCAUCGGAUGUGCCCAGAUGGGCUUAGCUAGUAGGUGGGGUAACGGCUCACCUAGGCGACGAUCCCUAGCUGGUCUGAGAGGAUGGCCAGCCACACUGGAACGGAGACACGGUCCAGACGCCUACGGGAGGCAGCAGUGGGGAAUAGUGCACAAUGGGCGCAAGCCUGAUGCAGCCAUGCCGCGUGUAUGAAGAAGGCCUUCGGGUUGUAAAGUACGGUCAGCGAGGAGGCGUUACUCGCAGAAGAAGCACCGGCUAACUCCGUGCCAGCCGCCGCGGUAAUAC
rnacentral:rRNA from 1 species